AACGCUAGCUACAGGCUUAACACAUGCAAGUCGAGGGGCAUCAUUAAACUUAGCAAUAAGUUUAGAUGGCGACCGGCGCACGGGUGAGUAACGCGUAUCCAACCUACCGUUUACUACUGGAUAGCCUUCUGAAAAGGAGAUUAAUACAGUAUGGUAUUCAAAUGUUACAUGGUAUUUGAAUUAAAGAUUUAUCGGUAAACGAUGGGGAUGCGUUCCAUUAGAUAGUAGGCGGGGUAACGGCCCACCUAGUCAACGAUGGAUAGGGGUUCUGAGAGGAAGGUCCCCCACAUUGGAACUGAGACACGGUCCAAACUCCUACGGGAGGCAGCAGUGAGGAAUAUUGGUCAAUGGGCGAGAGCCUGAACCAGCCAAGUAGCGUGAAGGAUGACUGCCCUAUGGGUUGUAAACUUCUUUUAUAAAGGAAUAAAGUUAACUACGUGUAGUUAUUUGUAUGUACUUUAUGAAUAAGGAUCGGCUAACUCCGUGCCAGCAGCCGCGGUAAUACGGAGGAUCCGAGCGUUAUCCGGAUUUAUUGGGUUUAAAGGGAGCGUAGAUGGACGUUUAAGUCAGCUGUGAAAGUUUGGGGCUCAACCUCGAAAUUGCAGUUGAUACUGGAUGUCUUGAGUACAGUUGAGGUAGGCGGAAUUCGUGGUGUAGCGGUGAAAUGCUUAGAUAUCACGAAGAACUCCGAUUG
rnacentral:rRNA from 1 species